GACGAACGCUGGCGGCGUGCUUAACACAUGCAAGUCGAACGAUGAAGCCGGAGCUUGCUCUGGUGAAUUAGUGGCGAACGGGUGAGUAACACGUGAGUAACCUGCCCUUGACUCUGGGAUAACUGCGGGAAACUGUAGCUAAUACCGGAUACGACCCUCGGAGGCAUCUCCUGGGGGUGGAAAGAAUUUCGGUCAAGGAUGGACUCGUGGCCUAUCAGCUAGUUGGUGAGGUAAAGGCUCACCAAGGCGACGACGGGUAGCCGGCCUGAGAGGGUGACCGGCCACACUGGGACUGAGACACGGCCCAGACUCCUACGGGAGGCAGCAGUGGGGAAUAUUGCACAAUGGGCGCAAGCCUGAUGCAGCAACGCCGCGUGAGGGAUGACGGCCUUCGGGUUGUAAACUCCUUUUCUCAGAGAAGAAAUUAUGACGGUAUCUGAGGAAUAAGCAUCGGCUAACUCCGUGCCAGCCGCCGCGGUAA
rnacentral:rRNA from 1 species